UACAGAGGGUGCGAGCGUUAAUCGGAAUUACUGGGCGUAAAGAGCGCGCAGGCGGUCGUUCAAGUCGCGUGUGAAAGCCCCCGGCUCAACUGGGGAGGGUCACGCGAUACUGAUCGACUCGAAGGCAGGAGAGGGUAGUGGAAUUCCCGGUGUAGUGGUGAAAUGCGUAGAUAUCGGGAGGAACACCAGUGGCGAAGGCGACUACCUGGCCUGUUCUUGACGCUGAUGCACGAAAGCUAGGGGAGCAAACAGG
rnacentral:rRNA from 1 species